rnacentral:lncRNA from 1 species
GUGCUUUCUCUUUCUUGCUCUGGAAUCCAGAAUUCCAACUCAGUGAAUUUUUUUUUUUUUUGACAGGCGGAGUGGACAGUGAGAGAGAGAGACAGAGAGAAAGGUCUUCCUUUGCCGUUGGAUCACCCUCCAAUGGCCGCCGCGGCCAGUGCGCUGCGGCCAGCGCACCGCGCUGAUCCGAUGGCAGGAGCCAGGUACUUCUGGUCUCCCAUGGGGUGCAGGGCCAAGCACUUGGGCCAUCCUCCACUGCACUCCCUGGCCACAGCAGAGAGCUGGGACAACAGGGACAGAAUCCAGCGCCCUGACCGGGACUAGAACCUGGUGUGCCGGCACCGUAAGGCGGAGGAUUAGCCUGUUGAGCCAUGGCGCUGGCCAGUGAAAUAUUUCACUUGGUUACUGCUUUACCCAGCCAGAUGCUCAGAGCUAAAGGUCUUACCUUGCUUGUAGAGUUAACUUUUUUUUUUCCAUUUCACAAUAAGGCAGAUAGAAUAUCUUGGGAUACAAACAAUCAAUGGCUUGGAUUUUUCAGAAUGUCAUUUGGAGGAAAUCAGGAUAAACUCAUCUAUUCUACCUACUUUGAAGAAAAUCAGUCAAAUUGAAGAGAAUUAUGUUUAUAAAAAGUCUUGCAAUCAAGCAGAAGGGAAAAGUUACUAAGGUGAGCAAUUAAUAACAUAUACUAUAUAUGUUCCUAUGCAACAUUUAGUGUACAAGUUAAAAAAAUUGUCUGAAAUACAGUUUAAGUAGUUGUCCUGUGUAUUUAUCACAGCCUUAGAAAUAAUCUGUCUCGUAUUAUAGAUGGUCCUGGAAGUGUGAUCACGGAGACCUACACUGGCAGCAGAGUUUGAGGAAAGUCUCCAAGGAAACAGAUUCUUCUCAAGAAAGCAGAAUUCAGGAGACUUGGUGAUGUAAUUUCAGGUGACUUCAUGAUGCAGUAUAUCUUAUAAAGGAAAUGAUAAUAAGGUUAUUGGGUUAUAUUCUGUUGUAUGAUGUGCUGUUCUUCCCCUAGCUGAAUGGUUGGAGACAGUAGCAUGAUCUUUAGCACCUGUGUGCUUAGUCUAUGAGACUAUUCUAGUUGCCUGGCAUGGGUAGUCCUUCUGUGCUUAGUGCUUACUCUUUUUACCUUAAUAUGCUAGUUUUUUACUUAAAAGUUUUA